rnacentral:rRNA from 1 species
UACGAAGGGGGCUAGCGUUGCUCGGAAUGACUGGGCGUAAAGCGUGCGCAGGCGGUUUUGUAAGCCAGAUGUGAAAUCCCCGGGCUUAACCUGGGAAUGGCAUUUGGGACUGCAAGGCUCGAGUGCGGCAGAGGAGACUGGAAUUCCUGGUGUAGCAGUGAAAUGCGUAGAUAUCAGGAGGAACACCGAUGGCGAAGGCAGGUCUCUGGGCUGACACUGACGCUCAUGCACGAAAGCGUGGGGAGCAAACAGG